UACGAAGGGGGCUAGCGUUGUUCGGAUUUACUGGGCGUAAAGCGCACGUAGGCGGAUUGUUAAGUGAGGGGUGAAAUCCCAGGGCUCAACCCUGGAACUGCCUUUCAUACUGGCAAUCUUGAGUCCGGAAGAGGUGAGUGGAACUCCUAGUGUAGAGGUGGAAUUCGUAGAUAUUAGGAAGAACACCAGUGGCGAAGGCGGCUCACUGGCCCGAUACUGACGCUGAGGUGCGAAAGCGUGGGGAGCAAACAGG
rnacentral:rRNA from 1 species